UACGUAGGGGGCGAGCGUUGUCCGGAAUCAUUGGGCGUAAAGCGCGUGUAGGCGGCCCGGUAAGUCCGCUGUGAAAGUCCAGGGCUCAACCCUGGGAUGCCGGUGGAUACUGUCGGGCUCGAGUCCGGAAGAGGCGAGUGGAAUUCCUGGUGUAGCGGUGAAAUGCGCAGAUAUCUGGAGGAACACCGGUGGCGAAGGCGACAUCCUGGACCGGUAUUGACGCUGAGGCGCGAAAGCCAGGGGAGCAAACGGG
rnacentral:rRNA from 1 species